rnacentral:rRNA from 1 species
GUUGGCCGGGCGACGGUUGUCCCGGUUUAAGCGUGUAGGCUGGUUUUCCAGGCAAAUCCGGAAAAUCAAGGCUGAGGCGUGAUGACGAGGCACUACGGUGCUGAAGCAACAAAGGCCCUGCUUCCAGGAAAAGCCUCUAAGCAUCAGGUAACAUCAAAUCGUACCCCAAACCGACACAGGUGGUCAGGUAGAGAAUACCAAGGCGCUUGAGAGAACUCGGGUGAAGGAACUAGGCAAAAUGGUGCCGUAACUUCGGGAGAAGGCACGCUGAUAUGUAGGUGAAGCGACUUGCUCGUGGAGCUGAAAUCAGUCGAAGAUACCAGCUGGCUGCAACUGUUUAUUAAAAACACAGCACUGUGCAAACACGAAAGUGGACGUAUACGGUGUGACGCCUCCCCGGUGCCGGAAGGUUAAUUGAUGGGGUCAGCGCAAGCGAAGCUCUUGAUCGAAGCCCCGGUAAACGGCGGCCGUAACAAUAACGGUCCUAAGGUAGCGAAAUUCCUUGUCGGGUAAGUUCCGACCUGCACGAAUGGCGUAAUGAUGGCCAGGCUGUCUCCACCCGAGACUCAGUGAAAUUGAACUCGCUGUGAAGAUGCAGUGUACCCGCGGCAAGACGGAAAGACCCCGUGAACCUUUACUAUAGCUUGACACUGAACAUUGAGCCUUGAUGUGUAGGAUAGGUGGGAGGCUUUGAAGUGUGGACGCCAGUCUGCAUGGAGCCGACCUUGAAAUACCACCCUUUAAUGUUUGAUGUUCUAACGUGGACCCGUGAUCCGGGUUGCGGACAGUGUCUGGUGGGUAGUUUGACUGGGGCGGUCCCCUCCUAAAGAGUAACGGAGGAGCACGAAGGUUGGCUAAUCCUGGUCGGACAUCAGGAGGUUAGUGCAAUGGCAUAAGCCAGCUUGACUGCGAGCGUGACGGCGCGAGCAGGUGCGAAAGCAGGUCAUAGUGAUCCGGUGGUUCUGAAUGGAAGGGCCAUCGCUCAACGGAUAAAAGGUACUCCGGGGAUAACAGGCUGAUACCGCCCAAGAGUUCAUAUCGACGGCGGUGUUUGGCACCUCGAUGUCGGCUCAUCACAUCCUGGAGCUGAAGUAGGUCCCAAGGGUAUGGCUGUUCGCCAUUUAAAGUGGUACGCGAGCUGGGUUUAGAACGUCGUGAGACAGUUCGGUCCCUAUCUGCCGUGGGCGCUGGAGAACUGAGGGGGGCUGCUCCUAGUACGAGAGGACCGGAGUGGACGCAUCACUGGUGUUCGGGUUGUCAUGCCAAUGGCACUGCCCGGUAGCUAAAUGCGGAAGAGAUAAGUGCUGAAAGCAUCUAAGCACGAAACUUGCCCCGAGAUGAGUUCUCCCUGACUCCUUGAGAGCCCUGAAGGAACGUUGAAGGCGACGACGUUGAUAGGCCGGGUGUGUAAGCGCAGCGAUGCGUUGAGCUAACCGGUACUAAUGAACCGUGAGGCUUAACCUU